rnacentral:rRNA from 1 species
UAAGCGGAGGAAAAGAAACUAACAAGGAUUCCCCUAGUAACUGCGAGUGAAGCGGGAAAAGCUCAAAUUUAAAAUCUGGCGGUCUCUGGCCGUCCGAGUUGUAAUUUAGAGAAGCGUCUUCCGCGCAGGACCGUGCACAAGUCUCCUGGAAUGGAGCGUCAUAGAGGGUGAGAAUCCCGUCUUUGGCACGGAUGCCUGUGCUUCUGUGAUGCGCUCUCGAAGAGUCGAGUUGUUUGGGAAUGCAGCUCAAAAUGGGUGGUGAACUCCAUCUAAAGCUAAAUAUUGGCGAGAGACCGAUAGCGAACAAGUACCGUGAGGGAAAGAUGAAAAGCACUUUGGAAAGAGAGUGAAACAGUACGUGAAAUUGUUGAAAGGGAAACGCUUGAAGUCAGUCGCGUCGACCGAGACUCAGCCUUGCCUUGGCUUGGUGUACUUCUCGGCCCGACGGGUCAGCAUCAAUUUUGCCCCUCGGAUAAUGGCAAGGGAAAGGUGGCACCUUUGCGGGUGUGUUAUAGUCUCCUGUCGCAUGCGAGGGGUGGGAUUGAGGAACUCAGCGCGCACCUUGGUGUCGGGGCUUCGGCCCACGUCACGCGCCUAGGAUGCUGGCGUAAUGGCUUUAAACGACC